GACGAACGCUGGCGGCGUGCCUAAUACAUGCAAGUUGAGCGCUGAAGGUUGGUACUUGUACCAACUGGAUGAGCAGCGAACGGGUGAGUAACGCGUGGGGAAUCUGCCUUUGAGCGGGGGACAACAUUUGGAAACGAAUGCUAAUACCGCAUAGAAACUUUAAACACAAGUUUUAAGUUUGAAAGAUGCAAUUGCAUCACUCAAAGAUGAUCCCGCGUUGUAUUAGCUAGUUGGUGAGGUAAAGGCUCACCAAGGCGAUGAUACAUAGCCGACCUGAGAGGGUGAUCGGCCACAUUGGGACUGAGACACGGCCCAAACUCCUACGGGAGGCAGCAGUAGGGAAUCUUCGGCAAUGGACGAAAGUCUGACCGAGCAACGCCGCGUGAGUGAAGAAGGUUUUCGGAUCGUAAAACUCUGUUGGUAGAGAAGAACGUUGGUGAGAGUGGAAAGCUCAUCAAGUGACGGUAACUACCAGAAAGGGACGGCUAACUACGUG
rnacentral:rRNA from 1 species